UCUGGAGAGGCUUUAUGUGCUGGAUCAAUUAGUGCUCUGAGCGUCAUGACGCACCCAGCAUGACUCUGCAGUCUGGUGUCACCGGUCAUAAAACUUCUUUAUUUACUCUGCGAGCCUCACUGAGCAGCACGCAUUGACUUCCCCGCACACCCCAACCAAGCUCACCAGAAUCUGGCCAUAAUCUCUCCAUGAAAUGAAGCUCAUCUGAGUUACAUUUGCCCAGCCUUGCCCAUUUCUUCCCAUCGCACAGCUCCCAGCCUGGCGUGGCCCUGGAGGUUCUCCUCGCUCCCCAGUGCCCAAUACUUCACGGCCCUGGAGAGAGCAAUUCUGUUCCCUGCCCUGCCAUUCACCUCACUGAUGACUUCAGCUGUUUCAUAAAUCACCACAGCUCCACCGAAGACAAGCAAGGCACCCAGACAUGCCCUUGUUCGGAGAUGAGUGAUACUGAGUUGUUGCUGUCAGCUCAGAGAAAGAGGAAAAGACUUUUCUCUCUUCAAGCCCAUCUGGAUAACUCCAAUUUCAGAAGAACGAUGCACAUCAUUGAAAUAUUUAUGCCAUGCCUUUGAAGAAAUACACCUCAUAUUUCAAGAACUCACCAGGCUGAGGUUUAUGAAGACUAUUUAAAGCUGUGGCUCUUCCAUUC
rnacentral:lncRNA from 1 species